AUUGAACGCUGGCGGAAUGCUUUACACAUGCAAGUCGAACGGCAGCAUAGGUGCUUGCACCUGAUGGCGAGUGGCGAACGGGUGAGUAAUACAUCGGAACGUGCCCAGUCGUGGGGGAUAACGUAGCGAAAGUUACGCUAAUACCGCAUACGAUCUACGGAUGAAAGCGGGGGACCGUAAGGCCUCGCGCGAUUGGAGCGGCCGAUGUUAGAUUAGGUAGUUGGUGGGGUAAAGGCUCACCAAGCCGACGAUCUAUAGCUGGUCUGAGAGGAUGAUCAGCCACACUGGGACUGAGACACGGCCCAGACUCCUACGGGAGGCAGCAGUGGGGAAUUUUGGACAAUGGGCGCAAGCCUGAUCCAGCCAUUCCGCGUGCAGGACGAAGGCCUUCGGGUUGUAAACUGCUUUUGUACAGAACGAAAAGCUCUGAGUUAAUACCUCGGGGUCAUGACGGUACUGUAAGAAUAAGCACCGGCUAACUAUGAAAGG
rnacentral:rRNA from 1 species